rnacentral:rRNA from 1 species
GUGCCAGCCGCCGCGGUAAUACGAAGGGGGCUAGCGUUGCUCGGAAUCACUGGGCGUAAAGGGUGCGUAGGCGGGUUUCUAAGUCAGAGGUGAAAGCCUGGAGCUCAACUCCAGAACUGCCUUUGAUACUGGAAGUCUUGAGUAUGGCAGAGGUGAGUGGAACUGCGAGUGUAGAGGUGAAAUUCGUAGAUAUUCGCAAGAACACCAGUGGCGAAGGCGGCUCACUGGGCCAUUACUGACGCUGAGGCACGAAAGCGUGGGGAGCAAACAGGAUUAGAUACCCCGGUAGUCCA